rnacentral:tRNA from 1 species
GGAGAGAUGACCGAGCGGCCGAAGGUACCUGAUUCGAAAUCAGGCGUACCCUGACGGGUACCGUGGGUUCGAAUCCCACUCUCUCCG